GACGGGGGAUGCAAGUGUUAUCCGGAAUCACUGGGCGUAAAGCGUCUGCAGGUGGUUUCCUAAGUCCACUGUUAAACCUUGAGGCUCAACCUCAAAUCUGCAUUGGAAACUAGGAGGCUUGAGUAUAGUAGGGGUAGAGGGAAUUUCCAGUGGAGCGGUGAAAUGCGUAGAUAUUGGAAAGAACACCGAUGGCGAAGGCACUCUACUGGGCUAUUACUGACACUCAGAGACGAAAGCUAGGGGAGCAAAUGGG
rnacentral:rRNA from 1 species